UACGUAGGGUGCAAGCGUUGUCCGGAAUUAUUGGGCGUAAAGAGCUCGUAGGCGGUUUGUCGCGUCGAAUGUGAAAACCCGGGGCUCAACCCCGGGCCUGCAUUCGAUACGGGCAGACUAGAGUUCGGUAGGGGAGUCUGGAAUUCUCGGUGUAGCGGUGAAAUGCGCAGAUAUCAGGAGGAACACCGAUGGCGAAGGCAGGUCUCUGGGCCAUAACUGACGCUGAGAAGCGAAAGCAUGGGGAGCGAACAGG
rnacentral:rRNA from 1 species